rnacentral:rRNA from 1 species
UAUGUAGGGGGCGAGCGUUGUCCGGAAUUAUUGGGCGUAAAGAGCGUGUAGGCGGUUCGGUAAGUCCGCCGUGAAAACCUGGGGCUCAACCCUGGGCGUGCGGUGGAUACUGCUGGGCUAGAGGAUGGUAGAGGCGAGUGGAAUUCCCGGUGUAGCGGUGAAAUGCGCAGAUAUCGGGAGGAACACCAGUAGCGAAGGCGGCUCGCUGGGCCAUUCCUGACGCUGAGACGCGAAAGCUAGGGGAGCGAACAGG